UACGUAGGGUGCAAGCGUUGUCCGGAAUUAUUGGGCGUAAAGAGCUCGUAGGCGGUUUGUCGCGUCUGCUGUGAAAACCCGAGGCUCAACCUCGGGCCUGCAGUGGGUACGGGCGGACUUGAGUACUGCAGGGGAGACUGGAAUUCCUGGUGUAGCGGUGAAAUGCGCAGAUAUCAGGAGGAACACCGGUGGGCGAAGGCGGGUCUCUGGGCAGUAACUGACGC
rnacentral:rRNA from 1 species